rnacentral:tRNA from 1 species
UGAGAUGAAGCUCAGUCAUAGAGCCCUUGCCUAGUAUGCAAGAGGCCCUGGGUUCAAUUGCCAGUGUCACAU